GGGGGUGAACUGGCUUCGACGGGGUGUGGAACGGUUAGCAAGGCGACUCGGAAUGGUACCUACGUACAGGACCAAACUUUACAAUUGCCAAUGACGAGCACUACGCUCCGGCUUUUGCAGCUGCAUAAAGUAGUUGUACAAAGCGGGGUCUGAACCCGGGCCCGGCAACAGAAGCUUUUAGCGGGGUUAAGCCGGAACUGUGUAGGCCGGUGUAAAUCCAGGGACACCCAGUUCUCCGAGGUAACGGGGGCUAUGUGGUCAGCCAGCCUGAGACGCCACAAAGCAGUAGGGUUGGCAAAAUGGUCGUGAUUCCUUCUAGCUUAAUACAUAUUUCGGACCGGGGUUCGACUCCCCGCACCUCCACCA
rnacentral:tmRNA from 2 species